AUUGAACGCUGGCGGCAGGCCUAACACAUGCAAGUCGAACGGUAACAGGAAGCAGCUUGCUGCUUCGCUGAUGAGUGGCGGACGGGUGAGUAAUGUCUGGGAAACUGUCUGAUGGAGGGGGAUAACUACUGGAAACGGUAGCUAACACCGCAUAACGUCGCAAGACUAAAGAGGGGGACCUUCGGUCCUCUUGCCAUCGGAUGUGCCCAGGUGGGCUGAGCUAGUAGGGGGGGUAAGGGUUCACCUAGGCGACGAUCCCUAGCUGGUCUGAGAGGAUGACAGGCCACACUGGAAGUGAGACACGGUCCAGGGUCCUGCGGGAGGCAGCAGUGGGGAAUAUUGCGCAAUGGGCGGAAGCCUGAUGCAGCCAGGCCGCGUGUAUGGAGGCGGCCUUCGGGUUGUGAAGUACUUUCAGCGGGGGGGAAGGGAGUAAGGUUAUUACCUUGGCUCAUUGACGUUACCCGCAGAAGAAGCACCGGCUAACUCCGUG
rnacentral:rRNA from 1 species